rnacentral:lncRNA from 1 species
ACACGCCCAGCUAAUUUUUGUAUUUUUAGUACAGAUGGGGUUUUGCCAUAUUGGCCAGGCUGGUCUCAAACUCCUGACCUCAGGUGAUCCACCCGCCUCAGCCUCCUAAAGUGCUGGGAUUACAGGUGUGAGCCACCAUGCCUGGCCUGGAAAGGGUUUUAAAGUAGAGGACUGGCACGAUCCAACUGUGCUUUGGAAGGAUCCCUCUGCUGGCAGUGGAGGGACAGGGGAAAUGGCAAGGGGUUGAGAGAUGUGGGGCCACCGGAGCCCAGGAACAGCCAAGUGUGAGAUGAUGAAGGUGGGAGAAAGGCAGAUUUGAGAGGUACCCGUAUGUGGAGGGAGGUAAGAGAGAGGAAGGAAGAGAGGAUUCUCCAGGGCUUCCAGUUAAGCCUCUGGGUAGAAGAAGAUGCCGCUAACCAGAAUAGGGAUUAAAGCCUGAAGAGUAACAUUAGGCAGGAGGGGCAGCUGUAGGGGUGUUCAUGAUUUAGUUUGGGGGGCAUAUGAAUAUUAAGGGCCCUCUGUGAAAUACAUUCAUGAAACAAUUAUUAUCUAAAUGUGUGUCUGACCAUGUAAAAAUCUCCUUAGACUUGGGACAGAACUGGAGUCAGAGAUACCAAUUUGGGAAGAAGGAUCUAGUGACAGAAACUUGGGAGUGCCCAGUGGGUAGGUACUGGCUAUAAUCAUGGUAAGAAGUGACAUGUGGUAGAGAUGUUGUGCAAACAGCAGGCCAGAAGCUUGCUCCUUAGAAUCCUAAUAUCUAAGUGGUGGGUGAAGAAAGAGGACAGGGCAAAGGACAGUGAGAAGGGGCUGAGAAGCAGAAGGAAACCCAGCAGAGAGUGAGAUGGAGAAUGUCAUCAUUCAGGGAUUCCUAAAAUUCACUCCAGGAAAACUCCCAAUUCUUUAUAUUUAUUCCCAGGCAGACUGAAAUGCUGGUAAGGCAGAUAAAAUUUUCCCUAUUGCUUCAUCAUAGAAUCCUUUUACUGGAAAACAAACAAACUGGGUGGGCUAUGGGAACAGAUACAUGAGUUCUCCUCUCUGCUAAUUUAACCAACCACACUGACUCCCAUCACAGAACUGCACAAACAAACCAGAAACCGAACCCUACCGGGAACCCCCUGGUGUACGAAGGGAGCCUAGCUCUGGCUGACUCUGCUUGUGUUCACAGACACUUUGCCUCAUUGGUUCGUGCCUCAGCUUCCAAUCUGGACAUGGAGCACAAUAACAGUGGGCCCACUGCUCUCCAAAUUCAUGCGCGCACUUGAAGGUGAGUUAAGAAAUGCUCAUAAAGUGCUUUGGGCCCCUAAAAGAAAGAAACGUGAAGUCUAUACAUUAUCUUUGUAAGCCUGUGAAUACGUCUUUAUCUAUAAAUGCCUUAUCUUGAAAGAAGCUCUCCUCCAGGGCAGUGUUUUAUCUCACCCAAUGUCAGAGCUCAGUAUUCUGAAUAAAGAAUUUGGUUACCAUGGGAACUGAGGAAUCUCAAACAUACACACACCCCUGCUUCCAGAAACACAAAAGGAGCUGACUCAAAAGGAGUGUCUGGUGCAGGCAUGCAGGGAGGAAGAAUGACUCUGAGCUUGACCAUUCAACUUUGAAACUUUAACAUCAAUGGAUCAGCACACACUGGUGUACGGUCUGCUAUGCAUGCAGCCCUGUGCUAGGCAAAAGAAGUAUCAGACCAGGAACUGACAGCCUCACUGCAACAGGAAGAGAGGCUUCACACAAUAAGCAUUUCAUUCAACCCGGCUGGACCUGUGCUUAUUGAGUUGAACAUCACUGAGCACAAAAUGCAAGCCAGACACCAUAAGAGCUGUAAGGAUGAUAAAGAUGUCUUUCUACCCUUGAGAGCUCUAAGUGUGGUCAGGAGAGAAACACACGCAAAGAUUAUGCUGGCUGGAAGGAAAUGCUGGAAUGAAGGUGGAAGGUACAUCCAGAAUGUUCUGGGGGUGAGGAAUAGCGAAUGAUGGGUUCUGACUUAGAACAUGAAGGGAAGGUAUUAAGAAAGAGGUGAUAUUAAGCAUUUAUUGAGCAUCUCUAGUUUUUUUGUGUAUGUGACCUCGUUUGGAAAUACAGUAUCUCUUCUUGAUGCUGGCAGUGAACAGUAUGACAACCUUCUGUCCUCACAGAGCUUCCAACAAACAGAGGCUGUGGAGGGUUGAGAGGAGCUGGGGACAUAUGAGCAAAGGUCUGGAAGUGGAUGUUGUGUCCAGGGUGGGAGGCAUGUUGGGUGGUGGUGGGUGGGAUGCUCUGAGAUCAGGUUGACAUGGGAGUGGUGCUAUGUGUGGAGGGUGGUCAGUGCCAUCACAGGGCAUUUUUACUAGGCUUUACUGCCUGGUCAAACAUUUGGCACCCAAAGUUGAUCCACCCUCUCCUAGUGGAAAUGAAGCAUCUCAUUACUAACUGGGCUUUUGUUCAAACCCCAACAUCUGGUUGGAUGGGCCCGAGGCCCCCAACCAGAGCUGAGCAGCCUCUGGGGAGGCUCAGUUUCUGAGCAAAGACAGGCGAUGUGAUCAGUCCUGUGCCUUAGGCAGGUGGUGAUAAAAGGACACUUUAGAAGGGUCAGAAAUGGGAGAGCUGGAAGCCAAUGCCAUGGCAAUCAUUUGCGCAAGAGAUGAUGAAGACCUGUGUAGAUGGAAGGGAAGGAAGGGACAGCUGGGAGCUGACCAGGAUGAGCCAAUAAUUAGAUGCAGAAGUGAAAGAGUCAGAAUGACAUUGGAACAGGGUGGGUAGGAGGAGGGAGGGGACCAUCAAUAAGACAGAGAACACAGAAAGGGAUCUGAUUUUGCGUGGAAAUCUGUGUUGUGUUUUGGACAUGCUGAUUUGGGAGAUACUUGAGGUGGUGAUGCCUCCUGGGAGCUGGAAAUAUAAGGCUGGUGCUUAGGAGAGAAGGCAGCACGAGACGUGUUGACCCGGGUAUCAUCUACAGAGAAACAGCCUGAAGCCCCUGCCUGGUGGGAGUUUAUAAAAGACUUACGGGAUAACUGACAGCUAUCGGGGAGAGAAAAUGGUGAUUAAUUAGGCUGAGACACAGAAUCUUAUCAUUAGCAAGGCUUUUGGGCGUGACGUGGCUUAAAUAUUCGAGAUAUUUAAUAAAUGUUUGUCAAAUCAAACCAAACUUCCCACCUAGUGCAAAUGUCACAUGGCAUAAGUGUCACCCGUCUAUCCAGAUGGCACUUGAAUUCUUCCAGAGGCAAGGACAUUACCUCAUGACGUCCAUUUUACUGUUAGACACCUAAAAUGGUUCCUGGUACAGAGUAAGUGAACAAGGAAUCCACUAUCUUUUGAAUGAAGGAAUGAACGAGUGGGUAAAUCACAUUGUCUCAGGCUCCAUGCUGAGUCUGAUGGGAUGACAAGACAUUCAGGGGAGACAGACAGAGGUUAGGCUGGAAAGUUACCAACACACUGGUGACAGCUGAAGCUAUGAUGGGGACCAAGAUCUUUAUGGGAGAGAGCAGAGAGAGAGGAGCACAGGAGAGGCAAGGAUGAAGCUCUUUUGUUCAUGUAUCCAUUCACCAACUUGUUUUUGUUUUUUGUUUAGAGACGGGGUCUCAUUAUGUCGCCCAGGCUGGUCUCAAACUCCUAAGCUCAGGUGGUCCACCUGCCUUGGCCUCCCAAAGUACUAGAAUUACAGAUGUCAGCCACUG